GUAGUCAUGGCUGAGUGGUUAAGGUGAUGGACUAGAAAUCCAUUGGGGUCUCCCAGCACAGGUUUGAAUCCUGUUGAUUACC